rnacentral:rRNA from 1 species
UAGUGAGGUGCCGUCAAGAGGUGUAAAUUUGAAAUAUCCCUAA